GAUGAACGCUAGCGGCAGGCCUAAUACAUGCAAGACGAACGGCAAGUUGAGUAGCAAUACUUAACCUAGAGUGUCGCACGGGUGCGUAACACGUAUGCAACCUACCUAUAACAGGAGGAUAGCUCGGGGAAACUCGGAUUAACCCUCCAUAACAUAAUGUUGUGGCAUCACAAUAUUAUUAAAACUGAGGUGGUUAUAGAUGGGCAUGCGUCUGAUUAGUUAGUUGGUGAGGUAACGGCUCACCAAGACGAUGAUCAGUAGGGGAACUGAGAGGUUGAUCCCCCACACUGACACUGAGAUACGGGCCAGACUCCUACGGGAGGCAGCAGUAGGGAAUAUUGGUCAAUGGGUGAGAGCCUGAACCAGCCAUGCCGCGUGCAGGAAGAAGGCCUUCUGGGUUGUAAACUGCUUUUGUCAGGGGAUAAAAAGCUCGUGCGCGAGUAAUUGUAGGUACCUGAUGAAUAAGCCACGGCUAACUACGUGCCAGCCGCCGCCGUAAUAC
rnacentral:rRNA from 1 species